rnacentral:rRNA from 1 species
GACGAACGCUGGCGGCGUGCUUAACACAUGCAAGUCGAACGGAAAGGCCCUGCUUUUGUGGGGUGCUCGAGUGGCGAACGGGUGAGUAACACGUGAGUAACCUGCCCUUGACUGUGGGAUAACUUCAGGAAACUGGGGCUAAUACCGGAUAGGAGCUCCUGCUGCAUGGUGGGGGUUGGAAAGUUUCGGCGGUUGGGGCUGGACUCGCGGCUUAUCAGCUUGUUGGUGGGGUAGUGGCUUACCAAGGCUUUGAAGGGUAGCCGGCCUGGGAGGGUGACCGGCCACCUUGGGACUGCGAUACGGACCAGACUCCUACGGGAGGCAGCAGUGGGGAAUAUUGCACAAUGGGCGGGAGCCUGAUGCGGCAACCCCGCGUGCGGGAUGACGUCCUUCGGGUUGUAAACCGCUUUCGCCUGUGACGAAGCGUGAGUGACGGUAAUGGGUAAGGAAGCACCGGCUAACUACGUG